GCCUGGACGCGCAGGUUCAACAGAUCAGUCUUCACAGCGACUUAGCGGAGGUAAAAGAGAAACGUUUGAGGAUCCUUGAACGCUUUCAGAGACUGCUAUGACAUCUCGCAGGUGGUUCCACCCCAACAUCACCGGAAUCGAGGCAGAGCAGCUCCUGUUGACGCGGGGCGUCCACGGCAGUUUCCUGGCCCGACCAAGCAAGAGCAACCCGGGGGAUUUUACCCUCUCUGUGAGGCGGUACGAUGAGGUGACCCACAUUAAGAUACAGAACUCAGGCGACUACUACGACCUGUAUGGAGGUGAGAAGUUUGCCACCCUGGCCGAGCUGGUGCAGUAUUACACCGAGCAACAGGAUCUCCUGCGCGAGAGGAACGGCCAUGUCAUCGAGCUCAAGUACCCACUCAACUGCAAGGACCCCACCUCCGAAAGGUGGUAUCACGGGCACCUCUCAGGGAGGGAUGCAGAGAAGCUGCUCACAGAGAAAGGCAAAGCCGGUAGCUUCCUAGUGCGGGAGAGCCAGAGUAAACCAGGCGACUUUGUACUUUCAGUUCUCACCAACGAGGAGAAACAUGAGAAUUUGGACCGAAAGACAAAGGUCACCCACGUUAUGAUACGCUACCAGCAGGACGGUAAAUAUGAUGUGGGCGGCGGUGAGAGGUUUGACACUCUGGCUGACCUGGUGGAUCAUUACAAGAAGAACCCCAUGGUGGAGAAAAGUGGCAUCGUAGUGCACCUCAAACAGCCCUUUAACGCCACAAGGAUAAAUGCAGCCAACAUUGAGAAUCGGGUACGAGAGCUCAACAAAGUAGCAGACAACUCUGAGAAACCCAAACAAGGAUUCUGGGAAGAAUUUGAGGUACUUCAGCAGCAGGAGUGCAAACUGCUGUAUCCCCGGAAAGAAGGCCAGAAGCCAGAAAACAAGAGUAAAAACAGAUACAAGAAUAUCCUCCCCUUUGACACGACUCGGGUUGAAAUCGUGGAAGCAGAUCCAGAAGUUCCUGGUGCAGACUACAUCAAUGCAAACUACAUCCGAAGUAUGCAUGAAGAGGGGCGCCACGUGGAAGAAGGCAAAGUCUUCAUUGCCACCCAAGGAUGCCUACAGAACACAGUCAUCGACUUCUGGAAGAUGGUUUAUCAGGAGAAUACACAUGUCAUCGUCAUGACCACGAAGGAGGUGGAGCGAGGACGGAACAAAUGUGUCCGUUACUGGCCUGACAUCCACGGCACCAAGGAGUUUGGGAAGGUGCUGGUAAGAAAUGUGGACGAGAGACCGGCUCAGGAUUACAUCCUGAGGAAGCUGGAGGUGACCCGUCUGGACCGGAGGGAGCCUCUGAGGUAUAUCUGGCAUUAUCAGUACCUGAGCUGGCCGGACCACGGUGUACCAAAUGAACCGGGAGGGGUCCUCUGGUUCCUGGAGGAAGUGAACCGCACUCAGAGCAGCAUUCCAGACACCGGACCGAUCGUUGUCCACUGCAGUGCAGGCAUCGGCAGGACAGGCACCAUUAUCGUCGUCGACAUCCUUAUUGACGUCAUUAACCGCCAAGGUUUAGAUUGUGACAUAGACAUCCCCAAGACCAUCCAGAGAGUGCGGCAGCAGAGGUCGGGCAUGGUGCAGACGGAGGCUCAGUAUAAGUUCAUCUACAUGGCCGUACAGCAGUACAUAGACACCGCCCAGAAGAGACUGGAGGAGGAGCAGAGGAGUAAGCUGCAGGAAAGAGAAUAUUCCAAUAUCAAAUAUCCCCAGAUGACCAACUCUAGGUCCAAAUCAAACAUGACAUCAUCACGCUCUUCUUCUAUGAUGACAAAUGAUGAUUCGUCAAGUGUGUACGAGAACAUAAACUUUAAAAGCCCUCAGUCGUCUUUUAGCAGCAACACUAGGAGGUAAAACGAUUGCCGUGGACCUCCACGUCUGUCUGCCUGUCUCUCAACAUACAUUUCCUGUCAGGUAGAGUGUCCAUCCAUCCAUUAUCUUCACCGCUUUUCCUGUUCGGGGUCCUGGGGGGCUGGAGCCGAUCCUAGCUAUCAUUGGUUCACCCUGGAGUCUUUGCCAGUCCAUCACAGGGCUGACAUAUAGAGACAGACAAUCAUCCACACUCACAUCCACACACCUACGGGCAGUUUAGAGUCACCAGUUAAUUUAGUUUCAGCGAGAGUGUCGCUUAGUCAGCGCCUGAGAAUCCUUCAGGACAGAGGGGAGUGCGUUACUCUGACUACACCCCCAUGUCUGCGGACCCUGCCGGGGCUGAAUGCUGUGAGCUGACCCCACUCCUGCUGCUGCCGUCCUGCUGGACCUCUUUGUCCGGAGUAAGCCUUACCCUCCGUAGAGAGGAGGACUCUACAGCAUAAUGCUCUCACUCAGGACCCUUUUUGUCCCCGUUCUUUCUCACCCACCUUCUUUUUGACCAGAACAAGUGCCUUGCUACAGAAUGUGUCUGUAAUCCAGCCUCCCAAAAAAAACCUGCUGUUGCAUCUCUGCUGCUUUCCCAACCCUGGAAACCUAAGUUGACGUGAGAAGAUUUUUUCCUCAGUGGGACAGAGAUUAAGAAUGGAGUCUGUCCCCACCUGAACUGAGCAGACCUGUACCGGACCCAAGACAGGUCAAAACUAAGCUGUUUGUCCACAGAAAUCCUUUUGUUUUCCAUCCUUCUGUCUCUGUUUUUGCUGGUUUGUCAUUUGAACUUGAACCCGAGACCUUUUUUUGCUGCAUUUUGUCUCUCCAGCUGUGGUGGUUAUUAAUGUGGCUGCUGAUUGAUGGCAGGAGCGCUUAUGUAAUGGGGGCAUAUGAGGCACAAGCAAGUCCUUCGUUCAUUUAAAAAAACAGGUUAACAUUAAUUUUGUGUUUAAAAGCGUUUCCACUUUGAGUCUCAACUCAUUCUUGAACAAUUCUUUUAUUCUUUUUCCCAAACUAUGUCUUUUUAAAUCAGCCUGUUUGAUUUUGUUUGUUAGUGUUUUUGUUGAUACGUUUGGUGUCAGGGUUGUGUAACAUAUGAGACUUAUUUUAAUAUAUAUAUAUACAGGAGUUAUAUAUUUAUAGAGCAACACUUGGUGAAAUAUCAUGUUAAAGCACAAUUGUUCAGGCAGCAACCCCACCCUUCAUUUUGAUUUACCAGCUGGUGGUAAUGGUUUAUUGAAGUCCACAUUUGACAGGAAACAGGUUGCAAGGAUUCCUAAAUGGAUGGUUGGAGUGGAAGUUGUUUGACUGGCUGUCUUAGUAAUCAGCCGGUCUGAAGCAGUUCAACAUCUGUUUGACGACAUGGUCACAAGGAGACGAGGGAAGGGGGGACGAUUACAGUCGGCCAGAUGGCCAUCUGCCUGAGAUUGAAGAAUAGAUUUGUCUCCAAAAAGUAAUUUAGAAGAUGGCCGUAAUCCAGGCUUGAUGAUCGCGGGGUGAGUAAGCCGGUGUCAUUGACGUGAUAAGGAAGACGGUGGAGGCGUGGAGCACUGAGCCCUCUGCACUGUCUGGCAGAUUAUGUGCUAUUUUUAGCCUCCAGAAUAAAAUAUAGAUCCUCAAAUACUAGCGCGGCUGCAAUCGUGGUUUCCGACGUGUAAAAUGCAAUAAUGAAUGGAAGCAAAGUCUCACAUGGUAGAAUGAUGUCAUAACACAGUGUCUUGCCUACGUAUUUACUCACUUUUUUAAGAUUAUGUUUGCCUUUAUUGAUAGGACAGCUUGAAAAGAGGCAGGAAAUGUCGUCCCAGGCCGGGAGUCGAAGAAGCAAAGAAGUGUGUUGAGGGCUUUGCCUCUGUACAUGGGGCGUCUGCUACCAUUUGAGCUAAACCAGCACCCAGUUUUCUCCAACUUUCACACAUUUUGUCCCAUUUCAAUUGACAAUAAGAACAUUUUUAGCAGGGUUGUGUGGAAUUUAUUGACUAGAAAUGUCCACAAUUUAAAAAUUUGGGGUUUUAUUUCAGUUUAAAAAAUAUUUACAACCAGCAAUGAUCAACUGUUUAGCUAUGAAAUCAGCGUGAGUCAGUUGUGUUCAUGUGAAUGCCUACAUCAAACAAACAUGUCUGCAUUUAAGACUGCUUUUAUUUGAACACCAAAAAAGCAGAAAUAGAUGUACUCGGGAGAAAGUUUGUGAGACAGUAAAAUAUUGAGAAGUCCAGUGGGGGCUCAGGUCACUGUCAGUGUGUUCAGUCUACCUUUUUGAAGGUGUACUGUAAAUACAAAACAUAAGUGAGCAGCACUGGUUCGUGUUUUUUUUUGCUCUGUCCAUUCCUUUCUCUCUAAAAACACAAGUAUGCGACAAUCUAUGUCAAGGACACGCAGGCUCGGAUCACCUUGUUUUUCUUCAGCUCGCAAGUUUCUGCAGCUGCAACAUGUUUUCUCAGUCAUUGCUCCAAAAUAAACUGUAUUAAGAUACUUUUGACCUUGUGGGUGAUAUCAGAAUAAAGUAACAGUGUGGCCUGCAUCAGUAUAAUUUUCAUUUCUGAAAACAGAGAGCUGCCAUUUAAAGGCUAAAAGAGCAUAUUUUUUUAAGGCCCAGGCUCAUAAGUUGAAGCUCUGAAGGUUAAAGCUAACAAACUCAACCUUUCAGUGCUUCAGUUAAUUAAAAAAAUAAAACAUGCUGCAGGACUUUUCACUAUUUCUAAAAGACUAAACAUGACCCCAAUUUUAGUCACAUCAGCUCAAUUUAUUGUUUUGGUCUAUUUUGGGAUCGUAAGCUUGGAGAGUUUUCCCGGUAGAGGAUCCUUUUUUUUUCUGCCAUUGUAUAUAAAUGUUUGAUUAUCCAAGUGGCUUUGAUAUCCCGUGUUGCUGAAGGCCUGUCAGAAAUAUGCCGCCCCACUUGAUGAGUUUCUGAGGUUGAAUUUGAAUAAUGAAGAUGUUUGAACCCCUCCAGAUCAUCCUUUUGUUCUUCACCUGUACCUCAAUUCUGAUCUGUCCCUUGACUGACUUUUGUGUCGAUGAUUUUUGAAUUUUUAUUAUCUUGUACUUUGCCUCUGUUGGUCAUAUUUUUUAUGAUAUGGUGAAAAAAAAUGACAAUACUUGAAAGUGUGAAACUGCUGAAUCUUUGGCCUCAGGCUGCGUGUGGAUGAAGUCUGUCGACUGUGGAAGUGUUUUGAGUAGUGCACUAGAUUUUCAGCCAUCAGUGUUUCAUUUCUUUUCUUUAUAUUUUGUCGAUGUUUCAUUUUGCUGAGAUGUUUCAAAUUGUGUUUUAAGAUUAAUUAUUUCAACCACACUUGCAUUUUAUAUAUGUCUGAAAUGUUAUUAUUAUUGUUUUAUUAUUUUGAUUGGUGUCAUUUCACCGUGGUUUAGUCUGGCUCUGAGGUGAGCCAGUGUACACGGAGCUAUGCAGAAGUAACACAAUAUUUCUCUCUGCUGAACCUUUCACAUGUACUUGAACAUGAUAUUGAUGUUUUUUUUGUUUUUUUGUUUUUUUGUCCCUGUGUCGGUCACAGUAUGCCUGAAGUGUGUUGUGGUAUCCUGAGUGUUGUUCCUCUUCUUGCACUGGCUCUGCCCAGACGCCUUCUUGCUGUACAGGCUACAAACGCUGAUGUAAUGAGCUGCGAGAAAUGGCAUCCAAAUGGUUUUAUUAUCAUAUAGUUGAAUAAAAAUCUAUGAUGGCACUAUGGAAGAAAA